GUUUUGUGAUAAGAAAAUAUUUCAAAACCGGAUUAUUUCAGAAGUGUUUUUUUUAUAGAUUUAUUUUUAAGUUUAACACGUGUGAUUCCCAAAAAAAAGCUUGCCGAUAUUAAGCAAAUAAGAGAAUGGAAACAUUUCGAUUAUAAUCAACAUUUUUUUACCCCGUUUUCCACACACACACAUCUAUCUUGUUCGUUGCAACCAGCCAGCCAUACAUCCAUCCAUCCAUCCAUCUAUCGCAACGAGAGUUACAGCAAGAGCACUAGCAGUAAAACAGUGGCAACUCUCACUCCGUUCCUGUUAUUCGCAUUGAAUAACGUGAGUGAAUAUGUUUGUAUGUUUAAUUAAAAUGAACAUCGCCAUCAUCAAAACAUCAUCAUGAUAGGAUGUGAACGAUGGGUACCUUCUCCAUGUAGCUACUCAACUCCACCACGUACAAUUUCGUCAUCAUCAACCCAUGUACAAUGAAUAAUUCGCCGUAACAGAGCAGAAUAUAUACAAUAAUGAAUUGGUGGAUCAAGGAAAAGGAAAAACCAAGGACAUUUAGUCGAAAAAAAAUGGUGUAUUUUUAGCAUU